rnacentral:lncRNA from 15 species
CCUCACUGUAUAAUUACAGCUAUUUGAAUGCACGUUGCCCCUUCAGCAAGGAGGAAUCAAACCUAAAAGAUUCCCAUUAUAUAAUGCAGCAUGUAUCCCCAGGCAGGCUGCAGAGCAGAGCGACAUAGGCUAGAGCUUGCACAUUGUAUGACAAACAAGAAAAAGAGGUGGAACGAAAGAAAGAGGAUGAGUUCUUUGAGUUUUGUCUAUGACUCUUUGUUCACAUCCCAAAGUUCAGCAAGUGGUUUCAGACCAGCACGAGCUCUGAGCGGAGGAGUGAGGCCAGAGAGACAGAGACACACAAAUGAACAAAGUAGAUACAGUAUUUUCACCAAAGCCUGUAAGGACUUUCACUGUGCCUGGGACUGAACACAGCACAGACAGCAGAGCUGUAAACCUAAGGGACCACAUAGUAAACAAGAGCACUCUGGAAGUUGAGUGGAAUUGCCAUUGAUCCCAGAAAACAAUUCCACUUCCCCUCCUGUUGCCGAAGAAUGCUUCCCAGCAAAAAAUAGAGUACCAGGGAUGUAAGAAGAAAGGGGGAGCAGAGGGGGGGAGGAAGAGGAGGAGGGGGAGAUGGAGGAGGAGAGACAGAAGGGAGGGCCAUGGGGGGAAACACUCUCUCAUGAUGCCCCUGCUUUUCUUCUCAUGCCCCCCUGUGUGGACUAACAGUUUGGUGGUGAGACGACACGAAGCUCAGACGCCGUCCUCAAGAGCCAGCUCCUGUUGAUAUUCACAAGAAGAAGAAGGUAGUCCCACCGCUGCGCCAAGCCUGCUCAUGUCUGCACCAUCACCUGCUAUUUGGCCACUGAGUUGAAGGAAGACUUGUCUCACCAGGGGACAGAUAAGGAGCCUCUGCUUGAUCAGAAACAGCCUUCCAGACCGCUAUCCUACAGCAGGUAAGUGACGAAAUGAACAUCAGAAGUAACAUAAAACUCAGGUAAAAGACUAGAAGACAUUUGGGAAAAUGCUUUAAGCAUCUGACUAAAAAAACUACAGCAGUGGACUUAGCGAUGAGGUCUCUGAGAAAGAGAUGAUAUCUUGGUAGUGUUGGGGCAAUGGGGUGAGAUGGGGUGAGAGGGCCAGUGGGUUUAAAGGAUCCCUGUCCUCCCUGGCAGGUAGUUAUCACCCUACUCGCUCUCACUCUUUUCAUCGCACUCUGUCUGUCUCUGUACCUCCUCUCUGCUCAUAACUCUCAAAAGAGACAAUAUAUUCAAACAAAGUGCAGCACUGGAGACCUCAAAAGAUAGAGCCACAUACUGUACUGUAUGUGCUCAUACUGUAUGUGUACAUACGGUAUGAAGAUUUUGAGGAGUUAUUAUCUCUGUGGUGUCUCAAGAUGAAAUUCUGUUUGAAUGCUAUCACAAAUUUCCCAUGAAGGUUUCUUGUCUCUACACAGAAAUGACUAAAAAUAUGUGAGUUGCAAGUUUCCUGUUUUGAUUAGGUGAACUAAACUAGCUUUCAUAUAGCUGUUCAUUAAUUCGAAUUGACAAAAUACACGUAAAUUAAUGCUAGAGAACUGUGAACUGUAGGAAAAUGCGCACUUAUUUUAGAGAGGUGCUGGCUUACAGGUAGACAUUAAACAAAUAAAUCUGAUAAGUCUGCUAUAUUAAAUAUAUAUAAUAAUAGAGUAAAUAUACUUCAUUAUAAGUAAAUGUCUUGUGAUCAAAAUGUUACUUCAUUAAAAGUACAGAGGCACUAGCAGAAGCAAUUUGUACUAGUAUAGUAUAAAAGUUAAAGUACUUAGUAAGUAAAUAAUGAAAUUUUAAAGUAAAGUAAAGAAAGUAAAGUACCGCAGGACUGUAUUUAAGGGCAAUUCAGUGCUUGACUAAAUGUAGUUUAUUAUAGUCUUCAUCACAAAAUAUAUUUAUGACUCUAAGAUGAGAUUUUGAAUAAAGUAAAAAAAAAAGUGCCGUCACUUAAAUGAGUAUCCACAAAACAAAUCUAUUUCAUACACCAUCAGACAAAGUAACAUCAAGUUAUUCAGCCUGGGUCUGUGGUCUGAAAAAUAACCAGCACUGUGACACCCCGGCUCCCAGCACGGUCAUAAAAAAGACUCAGUGGAACAUAACAAGCCAAACAGCAGGUGAGAUUUGUGUACAUUCAAGGAUCGAUUUACAUUACAGAAUCUCCAAAAUAAAAAAGACAUAAAAAACAAAAUAAACAUAAGAUCGAAACCAGCCAAACAUCUAAUCUGUCAUCCCCCCAGAAAUAGCAGCUAACCAGGAAUUUCAAUCAGGAGUGUGUUAGUCAGAAUUUUCCUCCAUGAAACACCUUGCCGCUGUCUGGCCUGUGGGUUCCAGUGUAAUGCCAUAUGCAGCUGAACAAUAGAUCAUAACAGGGCUGUGGGUCUGUGUACAGUAGUGGGCAGAUGAAGAGCCAGACAGCCAUGUAGGGUAGCAGGCAGCACAUCGGCCCGCUGGCUUCUGCUGGUGUGACUGAUAUAUGGCAGCCCAGAUCCACGCCGGCCUGUAAGCGGUGGCAACAGGUGACUUACAUCCCGCAUCCCGCAUCAGAUCCACUUUGUAGGUCAAACUAUCCUUAACUCACCCCUCCACAAAGCCAAAACAGCUAAACUUAAACAUGCUCAUCCUUGAUCGUAAUCCCAGCACUCAUGGGAGUGAUACGCACGCCACCCAUGCAGUCCUGCAGCUGCUGUAAAGCAUACUGAGAUUGACCCUCUAGACGUGUUAAAAUCCAAGUUUAAAAGCCAUGCUUCAUAUAUACUUCAUGCCUUUUAAGCUUCAACUUUGACACACAGGUGCAAUAAAUCUAAUAAAAUCUCUAAAAUGUCACAUAAAAUAAAUAAUCCUUAUUUAUUUCCUUUAUUAUACCUAAAUAACCUCAUGAAAGAGCUUUCAUUGGAGGGUAAAAAUAAUAAUCACUGAGCUGAAUAACUGCAGCCUGGGUAUGUUUGGCAUGUCUGUUGAUGUCAAACGAGACUGAUGAAACUUGUAUAUGAAUGUGUUAGCGCAGAGCAGUUGUGUGGUUGGUCUGACAUUUUCCUCGUGCUCUGCUGCGGCUGUUCCGCUGAAACGUUGCUGAGCUGUCACAACACUGCACAGUGAACCACUACCGGCAAAGAUAUUUUGUAUAUAGAGCUCCCGGCAGAGGCUUUUCAUUUGGGGUCAUUUAAUAAGAGCUGUAAUGUAGAGUUUAUCUGCCUUGGUAACUUUACUCAGUGAGGAAGUCUCUUUUCUCAAAGGAGAACUGGGAACAAAUAACACUGAUAGUCAGACAACCACACAACCAGCAAACAGGAAAUAAAAAGUCAGAUAAACAACAAUCAAGUGACAAACAGAAUUAAAGAAAGCAAUUACAAGAGUCCUAAAAAUUUCAGGAUAAUAAAGCUUUAAUAUCUCUAACGGGAAUGAAGGAAUCUUGAGGAGAGUUUGCAGUCCAUCCUAUUUAAAAGGUUGAUAAUACCUGAUAAAGAUUAGCACAUGGAUAUGGAAUAUGUACAAAGUAUCUAUCGGAUCUUGUACGAUUGUAAGAUUUAAGUGAGAGACAUUUGGAAGCUUUACAGUAGAGUGCUAUAGAUUAUUAUUAAUUUAUGUCAACAAGAAAGUCCAUCCAACUUCCUGAUACUGAACGCAAUGAUGCAUCAAUUAUUCUCAGCAGUAACCAUUGAGUGGCAAACAUUUUUAUAUGACUUUAAUAUUGUCUUCUUUCUUCUUCUGUCAAAUAAACAUUGAGGACUUUCUUGAAAAGAGGUAGUGAAACCUUAAUGGGAGGUUUUACUUUUAUUUUGAAAAACUACGAAAACACUAAGGUAAUACAUACACUAAGGUGUCAGGUAAUACAAUUCUCAAGAUUAAAUGUUCAGAUAUGGAAUGAUCUAUUUACAGACAUAACGAGGCCAUUAAGUCCAAAUAUUUGACGUCUUUGUGAUCUGGAACAAAUAGUAGAGCCAUGUAGUUAUAAAGACAUCAUACUCCAGCCGGCCAAAUUUGUCUCUUCACAAUAUUUUUUAGAAUCGGGUCCCUCCAAUGUGAGACUGUGUGGCCUAAUUUGUCCCUCUAGGAUAUAUCAAAUACUGUAGACACUAUUCUAGGAAAAAUAUGAGUUUUCUUGAGUGUGUUUUACUUUCUAAUCAAAACGAUAAAUGACUUUGUCAGGUUAUGUGGUUGUUAAGCCAGCGCGUUGGGAUCCUUGCUUAAAGAUUGACUUCAUCUCCAGCAAAUCCCCCCAGACAUACAUAAUAACACAAUCGUACUUAAUGCACAACACCGUGUAAAUACUUUUUCCUCCAGUGAUGUUAGUCUAAACAUGUCCAAUUAAAGGGAAGCAGGCCGAGAAAAUGUAUACCCCACCAUCU